GAUGAACGCUGGCGGCGUGCCUAAUACAUGCAAGUCGAGCGAACAGACGAGGAGCUUGCUCCUCUGACGUUAGCGGCGGACGGGUGAGUAACACGUGGAUAACCUACCUAUAAGACUGGGAUAACUUCGGGAAACCGGAGCUAAUACCGGAUAAUAUAUUGAACCGCAUGGUUCAAUAGUGAAAGACGGUUUUGCUGUCACUUAUAGAUGGAUCCGCGCCGCAUUAGCUAGUUGGUAAGGUAACGGCUUACCAAGGCGACGAUGCGUAGCCGACCUGAGAGGUUGAUCGGCCACACUGGAACUGAGACACGGUCCAGACUCCUACGGGAGGCAGCAGUAGGGAAUCUUCCACAAUGGGCAAAAGCCUGACGGAGCAACGCCGCGUGAGUGAUGAAGGUCUUCGGAUCGUAAAACUCUGUUAUUAGGGAAGAACAAAUGUGUAAGUAACUAUGCACGUCUUGACGGUACCUAAUCAGAAAGCCACGGCUAACUACGUG
rnacentral:rRNA from 1 species